AUCAUUGAAAGGGUUAAUGUUGUAAUGGACUCUAAUCCCCUCGGUUCUCGAUCCCUCGGUCACCAUAAUCAACGUUGAUGGAGAAUCAUUUGUAAGCAAUAACACACGGACAACAGCUUUACAAGACUCUCAAAUGAGUGUAUUCCAGAGCUGGCUUUUAUACAUAGUUUGCUUACAUUAGCCAUGGUAUAUGCAAAUACAGUACAGACUAUAAGAUUUAUUACUUCCUUGUAUUACGUUAUUCUGACAAUGGAAAGAUAAGCUUUUGCAUACGUCUGGGAAAGAAUAUCCUUAAAAUCGGAAUGGGCAAGACAUCCUGAAAUUUAGCAUUAUCUUACAUCCUAUAGAAGAAAUACCUUAGUCUGUCACAGUCAGCAUAUUAUGUCGUAUAUUGAGUUGAGUUUAAGUAUUCAAUAUUCCUUCAGUCAGCAAUAAUCAUGUUAUAAACCUUAUAAAAGCAUAAAAUACAUAUAAACAAGUUAACUAUUUAAUAUUCUUACAUUCCCCUCUUUGAGCAAUAAAACAAUUGCUCAUCUUAUCGAUAAAAUCUUACCAGGACAGAGAAACUUCCACAUGGUAUUUUCAGGGGUGCUAGUCACUCCCUGCGGGGCUUUCAUUAAUUUCUUCACCUCGAUUCCCAUGUGGUAAUUCCUAAGGCCCAGUUUAAAGAUGGGUUGAUACCCUCCAGUGGCAGAGAGGAGAAUUUCUAAUUGUUUCUGUUCUGCAUUAUGGAUUCAUUUCUGUACUCUCUUCCUCAAUGUACAAGUAAGGUGACAGUUAUAUAAAACCAUACACAAUAAAAUCAGGACUAUAAUAACAAAAGGAUAGAAGAAUGAUUUCAUUAUCUGGGAUCCAGUAGGGGACCAACCAGUGAAGCAUCGUACCAAUGAUGGGCUAAAUCAUUCUGAAUUUGUGAACUCACCUUAAGGAGUUCUCCUUUUAGGAUAUGUGUGGCUACCUGUGUGUGUUAUCUUUGGGAAAAAUAUAGUCCCCUGUGUAUGUGGGUGCCCACCAGGUUAAAUUCUUGGCAAAAAGAUCAUAAACUGGUACUGGUAAUGUGUUAAAUUGACAAGCUAAUUUAACAUCCUUUGAUGAUGUAUGAUAUAAUGUAAAAUAGCAUGAGCAUGAAAUAUGUGAAACAUUACCAGUUAACCAUCCAUUGCAUUUACUGGAUUGGGGUUUUAGAAGUAACCAUUCAUUAUCUGUGAGGUUACGCUUUCCUCUAAUCUUCUCUAGUUUAGGAAUCAUUAGUGUGUUUUCUAAUGCCAAUCCUUGUUGUUGUAUCCAUAAAUACCUGAUGGCACAAGUACUCCAGUUACUUAGACCUGUAGUGAAUUUCAU